GACGAACGCUGGCGGCGUGCUUAACACAUGCAAGUCGAACGGGCCUUGUCCCCUUUUUUUUUGGGGGUGGGGUUAGUGGCGAACGGGUGAGUAACACGUGAGUAACCUGCCCCUCACUUCUGGAUAACCGCUUGAAAGGGUGGCUAAUACGGGGUGUUCUGGCCUGCUCGCAUGGGUGGGUUUGGAAAGAUUCGACCGGUUUUGGGUGUUUUGGUGGGGGAUGGGCUCGCGGCCUAUCAGCUUGUUGGUGGGGUGAUGGCCUGCCAAGGCUUUGACGGGUAGCCGGCCUGAGAGGGUGGGCGGUCACACUGGGACUGAGACACGGCCCAGACUCCUACGGGAGGCAGCAGUGGGGAAUAUUGCACAAUGGGCGCAAGCCUGAUGCAGCGACGCCGCGUGAGGGAUGGAGGCCUUCGGGUUGUGAACCUCUUUCGCCAGUGAAGAAGGUCCUGCUCUUUGUGGUGGGGUUGACGGUAGCUGGGUUAAUGAAGCGCCGGCUAACUACGUG
rnacentral:rRNA from 1 species